rnacentral:rRNA from 1 species
UACGUAGGGCGCAAGCGUUGUCCGGAAUUAUUGGGCGUAAAGAGCUCGUAGGCGGUCUGUCGCGUCGGCUGUGAAAUCCCGAGGCUCAACCUCGGGUCUGCAGUCGAUACGGGCAAACUAGAGUAUUGCAGGGGAGACUGGAAUUCCUGGUGUAGCGGUGAAAUGCGCAGAUAUCAGGAGGAACACCCGGUGGCGAAGGCGGAUCUCUGGGCCUGUCCUGACGCUGAGGCGCGAAAGCUAGGGGAGCGAACAGG